rnacentral:tRNA from 1 species
AACCGCGUAGCUCAGUUGGCAGAGCAUUGGGCUUGUAUUCAAAAUGUCGUGGGUUCGAUUUCCACCGUGGUCA